rnacentral:rRNA from 1 species
GACGAACGCUGGCGGCGUGCUUAACACAUGCAAGUCGAACGCUGAAGCACCAGCUUGCUGGUGUGGAUGAGUGGCGAACGGGUGAGUAAUACGUGAGUAACCUGCCCUUGACUCUGGGAUAAGCCCGGGAAACUGGGUCUAAUACUGGAUGCUACAUGUCACCGCAUGGUGGUGUGUGGAAAGGGUUUACUGGUCUUGGAUGGGCUCACGGCCUAUCAGCUUGUUGGUGAGGUAAUGGCUCACCAAGGCGACGACGGGUAGCCGGCCUGAGAGGGUGACCGGCCACACUGGGACUGAGACACGGCCCAGACUCCUACGGGAGGCAGCAGUGGGGAAGAUUGCACAAUGGGCGAAAGCCUGAUGCAGCGACGCCGCGUGAGGGAUGACGGCCUUCGGGUUGGAAACCUCUUUCAGCAGGGAAGAAGCCACAAGUGACGGUACCUGCAGAAGAAGCGCCGGCUAACUACGUG